ACUAAGUUUUAUAUUUGUCCGUGUAGUUAGCUCUACUGGAAAGAUUUACAUUUUUGUAUGGCUUCGAAUUACUUACUAGUAUUCUUUCAAUUUGGAGGACCACCUUAAGCAUUUCUUGUGGAGCUUGUCUAUUGGUAGUGAAUUUCCACAGCGCUUGUUUAUCUGGGAAUGUGUUAAUUUCUCCCUCAUUUUGGAAGGAUAGUUUUUGCCAGAUACAGAAUUCUCGGUUGAUGGGGGUUUUUUCUUGCAGCAUUUAAUUAUAUCAUCCGACUGCCUUCUGGCCUGCCAAGAUUGUGCCCUGGGAGCCAGAGAGGGACCCCUUUACUAGUAAAAUGCUCUGCAAUUUUGUUUUGUUUUGUUUUGUUUUGGAGGGCAUUAGAUUAACCAUUGUUUCCAAAUUGACUUCUCACCCACCUGCAUACUACUCUUCCUCUUAGAGAUUGUCAGGCCAGGCUCCAUAUGGUCUCUGUUAUGAUCUUCCCCUCCUGCCAUAGAGGUAGCCGCUUUCCCAUCUCAGAUGCACUGUGGAACAGAUCUCAGGCUUUAACUAUGUGCUGGGCAGACAAGCAAGGAAGACAUCGUGAGCAGAAGAAGCAAUGUAUCACAAGGAUUGGAACUCCCCCAGGUGUAUCCAUGAAACUACAAUGAUUCCAGGAAAUGUGAGACAAGAUGAGUGGCUUCCACAACCCCACCUGGAUUCACAGCCACAGUGAGCUCCCUUAUCCAUCAAAUGUGACUGGAAGCUUGAUAUGGACCCAUUUCAGCCCAGCCGUGCCUGCAGCUCACAGCACUCGCUAAGUGUCCCAGUGAAUCUGGUCAGGUCUCCUGACCAUCACCCCUGCGGGAGGCCUUCCUUCUCUUCAGAGUGGUAGCUAGCACAAAGCACCUUGGCCAAGUGCCCAUGUGCACACAGGAGGACCCAGGGGAGAGGACCAAGGUCAGACGGAGAGCCCCAGCCACUCACUAUCUUUGUUCUCCCCUCCUUGGUCAGCAGUGUCCCAGGUUCUGGUUGGGAAGGCAGAGAGGAAGAAUGACUUUGCCUCAGACUGCCUCCCAGCUCAGGCAGUGUAGGGCCGUGCGUUAUUGAGGUGGGACUCUUCAUGGUGGUUUUCUUGUCAUUCAGGAAUUGUCAUUCAUCUGCUCAUUCAGGAAUUUGUUGAGAUCACUUUCAGUGGAGGAACAGGAACAAGGAUGGAUGUGCCAAGAGAGGGUGCUUUGGGGUCAUAUGACCCCAAGUCCUAUUCCCCUUCUGCCACCUGUGGGCUAUGUGGUCUAGGGCAAAAGUCACUUUAGCUCACUAAGCUUUGGUUUCCUCCUCCUGAGGGCAUCGAUGCCCACUGCACAGAGAGAUCAUAGGGGCGCAAAUGCUCAGAAGGAUGCCCAGCACACAGUAGGUAGCUUAAUAGGUAGGGCUACCUCAUUGUGAUUUUUCAGUUUCCUCUGUGUUUCAGUCUCACUGCUUAAUUUAACAUUGGAUUUGGUGAUAUGUGGCUUCACAUUUCCUUUACCUCAGCUAGCAGCUGAGGAUUACGUGCUCAGGCUCUGGAGUUUGCCCAGACCUAGUCUCAAAUCCUGGCUCUGCCAGCACACUCACUGUUUGACUUUGCCUGAGUAACUCUACCGAUUGGUUCCUGUGGAGAUGAUGGUGGCGCACCCCACCCCCUUGUAGAGAGGUUGUUAGAAGGAAAUAGGAUCGUGCAUGGGCAUUGCUUGGUACAUGGGAAAUGCUCAAGUAUCGGUGUUCAUCUUGUGAAUAUUGCCACCCUGAGAAGGCACAUUCUUAUUCCAAAAUUGGGCACUUGCCAUUGUUCAGACUAUUCAACAAAUCUUGACAUUAGCUUCUGAGUCCUUUGAAUGCCCAUAAUGGUAAGAAACUUUCAAGAAAGAGCAGGUUUGGGGGAAGACUGAGAAGGUAUUCAGAGGCAAAUCUGCUGAUUGACAUGGCUGGUGAAUUAAGAUAAUUAUCUUUCCAGUCAAAAACAUUGUGUUUCUUGUAACCCAUGCAAAUGCAUGCACAAGAGGCCUUCCAGCAGUGUGGGCAGAGGCCUCCAGAGGCGUGACUUGGUUCAUUACCACUCACUCGUUACUGUUAUUUUUUAAUUGGAAAGUGAAACCUGCCCAUGCUUAAAAAAGAAACAUCUCAAAGAGUAAAAGCGAAAAAAUCUCCCUAUCACACAGAGGCAGUCUACAGUUUCCAACUCUCCUCAAGGAGAGUGGAAUGUGGCUAUAUAUGGUCCCUUUCAAAACAGCAAAUGGGGGCCCAGCAGGCACACUGUUCUGCACCUUUUUCUUCCCUCUCAUGAAGCUCUCCUGAGGGUAUGGCUUUCAAGGACUUCCCUCUACAGAGAGGCACAGACUAUUGAAGAAAUGCCCAGGGAAGGCCUUUGGGACUCCCCAGAUUCUUAAACACUGUGGUGGCCGGUAACUGGCCCUGCUCCUCGCUCUGACGUGCCUAUUUGUCAGUUCUCUCACUUUAAAUCAUUUUCCAUUCACUUCCUUAGCCAGCGCUAAUAGUUGGACUUCUGGAGGGAGAGAGAGGGAGGAAGGGAAGGAGAGAGGGAGAAGAUAAAUUGAGGGAGAAAGAAAGGGAAGAGAGGAGAGGGAGAGGAAAGGUGGGGCAGGGAGGGUCUUUCACCCAUGGCCAUCUGGUUGUUAUGAAUUGAACUGUGUUCCGGGAAUGCAAGCUGGUACAGCCACUCUGGAAAACAGUAUGAUGUUCUUCAAAAAACUAAAAAUAGAACUACCCUACGACCCAGCAAUUGCACUACUAGGCAUUUAUCCAUGGGAUACAGGUGUGCUGUUUCGAAGGGACACAUGCACCCCCAUAUUUAUAGCAGCACUAUUAACAACAGCCAAAGUAUGGAAAGAGCCCAAAUGUCCAUCGAUGGAUGAAUGGAUAAAGAAGAGGUGGCAUAUACAUACAAUGGAGUAUUACUUGGCAAUCAAAAAGAAUGAAAUCUUGCCAUUUGCAACUACGUGGAUGGAACUGAAGGGCAUUAUGCUAAGUGAAAUUAGUCAGAGAAAGACAAAAAUCAUGUGACUUCACUCAUAUGAGGACUUUGAUGAACAUAAGGGAAGGGAAACAAAAAUAAUAUAAAAACAGGGAGGAGGACAAAACAGAAGACACUCAUAAAUAUGGAGAACAAACUGAGGGUUACGGGAGGGGUUGUGGGAGGGGGGGAUGGGCUAAAAGGGUAAGGGGCACUAAGGAAUCUACUCCUGAAAUCAUUGUUGCACUAUAUGCUAACUAAUUUGGAUGUAAACUUUAAAAAAAUAAAAUAUAAAAUAAAAAAAAAUGAACUGUGUUCCCUCCAAAUUCAUACAUUGAAGUUCUAACCCCCAGGACUCCACAAAGUGACCUUUUUUGGAAAUAAGGGUUAUUGCUGGUGUAAUUAGUUAAGAUUAGGUCAUUACUAAAGUAGGGUGGGUCCUUAUUUUAGUGGGACUGGUGUCCUCGCAAAAAGGGGAAAUUGGGAAACAGAUGCACACACAGGGAGAACACCCUGUGAAGAUGAAGACAAAAAUGAGGGUGACACCAACACUUGCAAGCAAAGCUUCAGGAAGUAGGAGAGAAGCAUGAACAGAACCAGCCCUGCUGACCCCUUGAUCUUGGAUUUCCAGCCUCCAGAACGGUGAGACGAUAAAUGUCUAUUGUUUAAGCCGCCCAGUUCAUGUACUUUGUUAGGGCAGCCCUCGCGGACUAACAAAUACCCUGGGGAGAGACAGGCUGCCAGCCCUGAAACCUCCCAUGUCAGAAAAGGAGAACCAACAUGUUCCUCGCCUUCAGUAUUUGCUGGCCCCCAUCUAUGCAGCCGUCCAUAGCUUUCCAUUUUCCACUGGAGACCUGAGCCAUAAUAACAAGCACUAUAAACUGAAGGCAAGACUUAAAACUAGAAGCUUUGGCCACCCCAAAGUUUGCCUCCUGAAGUCUCUAGACCAAAUGAACAGGUCCAUGCUUACCCAUGGGCUUUUAGUGCCAGCAGCUUCCAGACUCAACCUACAGGUGUUUGCCCCUAGAGAGGCAACACGGGCAGCAUACUGGGUACUCACCAGAACGGAAGCCCACGCUGGAGCAGAGCCAGAUACUUAUGGGGGGAGAUUCUUGUUAUGUUCUGGACAGUGGAAAAAAGCUUCCUGUAAAGUUGAAGCUGCAACUUUAUUAAGAUGGAAAUGCUACUACGGGAUCAAACUUAACCUGGCCCUAUGGGGUGUCGUGACUCCAUGAGGACAUGGCCACAUACCCUGGCACUAGAUUAACAUGCCAAAGUCCCCAGCGAUGUCUCAUCCCUUGCUCAAUGGGGAUAAGAGGUAGGGCAGCCCCACUCACAAAACGAGAAAGUCAAUGAUCUCUUUACCAAUGGAGUGAGCACAGGGCAUAAAAAGGCCAAACAGUGGGCAAUCUCAGCCUAUGGCCCAUAUUCAGACACUCCAAAUUCUGUAUGGGAGAGAGACCAAAGCAUCCAAUGGGCCGAGCCGAGUGCAAUACUUCCAGCAAUAGCAUAUGCCCUUGACAAACAUUUUCCUAAGAUUUCUAUUUUUACCAACUCCUGGUUGGGAGCUAAAAGGCUAACUAUUUGAUCAGGACUUCAGCAAAAUGUGGGAUGAGGACCUGACAUGAACCAGCUCUGUGACUGUCCUGAGCCUGUGCCCACUCAUCAUCUAGCAUUUAGCUACCACCAUCUGGAGAGAAAGGCACUGUCAUCUGCCACUCAAGUACUUUGCUCCACGAAAGACACUGAGGACAAGUCUGGAUCUGUAACUGACACCCAUCAGAUGGAACUCUUACUGCCAGAGUGGGCAACACCAUUUGGACAAUACCCAGAAGACCAUCAGAUUCCUCUACUGCUGGGUGCAGAUGACCCCUGACUUUAACCCCUACUGUAUUGCUGUGUACUUUCCUUACCUAAGUUCCUGGCAAGGACAGAUAUAUAUCAACACAUAGUCCUAGAUGACUUAUUGGCUGCUGAGGGGAGUGAGGUCUGCAUAUUUAGCACAUCUUGCUACGUGUUUUAAAGAUAGCCAGAGGCAUGCAUCAAAGAGGCCAUAAUAACACUCUAUGGACUAAACAAAUGGAACAAGUCAAAAUCUCCUUUUCUGACCUUAUUCUCCUUACAGACUAGCUGCAAAUAGGCUUUGAAAUUCUAGUUUUUACUCUCACAGGAUUCUGGGGCUUUAAAAUCUUUAUUAUGGGCUCCAAACUCAGGCAGUAUGAAUUAACAUACAACUAAAAUUAUAAAGCAACAUGGGUCUGAGGGAUGGAUUGUUAUAUUAUGAGCCAAAGAUAACCUCUUGUAUAUUGGCCUUAUGUUUUUAGCUUAUUCAUAGUGGCCUAGGACCUGUUAGCUCAAAAGCCUGCUGAUGGAAAACUCAAAUUUUACACAUACAGUAGUUUUAAAAAUAGCUCAUACAAGCAGAUUUUUUAGCCAUUUGCAGUCUGUCUGCUUUGCAUACUCCAGGAAAGUACACCUAACAUCUGCUAGCCAUAGAUAAAAUAAACCCAGUAGCUAUAAAAGACUCCACACUGGUGCUGCCCUUCAAAGCUUCAUGUCCCAGAGGCUCUCAGUGUUGUAACUGACUGACAUCCUCUAGACACACAAGCUUGCUCCCUGCUCUCCCUCCCCUUCUGGAUGGACACUUUCAUGCUCUGAGGGAUUUCCUUCAUCAUGCCAACCUAGCCAGAAUGUCAUCCAAAUAAAGCUCAUUGUGUGCUACUGCCACCUAGUGGUCAUAUCGUUUUCUGUGAUCGACCCCCAAAUGCCUAGGCAUUUAUACAUUUAUCAACCAGUUUUGGGUUUUAUUAUUUUUCUCUAUUGUUUUUCUGUUUUCUAUUUAGUUUCUGCUCUAAUAUUUAUUAUUUCCUUUAUUCUUCUUAAUUUGUAUUUCAUUUUCCCUUCUUUAUCUAGUUUUCUCAGGUGAAACAGCAAUCGUAGAUUUGAGAUCUUCUUUUCCAUCCAUUUAUUGGAUGGAAACCUCUGUGGUAUUUAGUGUUAUAAAUUUCCCUCUAAACACUGCUUCCAACGCAUUCCACAAAUUUGGUAUAUUUUGUUUCCAUUUUCAUUCAAGUCUAAAUACUUUCUCUUUUCCCUUUGAAUUCAUUUUUUUUUUUUUAAACUCACAUAUUAUUUAGAACUGUGUUAUUUAGUUUUCAAUAUUUGGGAAUUUUAUACAUUUCUGUCAUUGACAUAUAAUGCCAUUGUAGUCAGAGAACACACUUUGUAUGGGAUGAAUAACUUUACAAUUUUUAGCUGCUUUGUGGCCAUGGAAUAGGGUCUAUUAUGGUGUUUUUUUUCUUUUUUUAAAAUGUUUAUUUAUUUUGAUGGAGAGAAAGAGAGAGUGCAUGAAAGCAGGGGAAGGAGCAGAGAGAGAGAGAGAGAGAGAGAGGAGAGGGAGAGAAUCCAAGCAGGCUCUAUGCUGACAGCUGACAAUGUGGAGCUUGAUCUUAACCAACUGUGAGGUCAUGACCUGAGCCAAAAUCAAGAGUCAGACACUUAACCAACUGGGCCACCCAGGCGCCCCUAUUAUGGUAAGUAUUUUGUGUGCACUUGAAUACAAUGUGUAUUUUGCUGAAUUUAGAAGAGUAUUCCACAAAUCAAUUAGGUCAAUUCGUAGUAUUGGAGUAUUCUAGUUUUGUAUAUCUGCUGAUUUUUAUUCUACUUGUUUUGUCAAAUAUUGAGAAAGGGUAUUGAAAUCUGACUGUAAUUAUGGAUGUGUUUAUUACUCCUUUCAGUUCUGUAAAUGUUUGUUUCAUGUAUUUUGAAGCUCUAUUAUUAGGUGAAUUUAUGUUCAGGAUUAUUAUGUCCUCUUAAGAAAUUGGCUUUUCUCUUUAUCAUUAUGAAGUGGUUCUUUUUAUUCCUGGUUAUAUUCUUUGCUUUGAAAACUACUUGUUCUGGGGGCGCCUGGGUGGCUCAGUCGGUUAAGCGGCCGACUUCAGCUCAGGUCAUGAUCUCGCGUCUGCGAGUUUGAGCCCCGCGUCAGGCUCUGUGCUGACAGCUCGGAGCCUGGAGCCUGUUUCAGAUUCUGUGUCUCCCUCUCUCUGACCCUCCCCCGUUCAUGCUCUGUCUCAAAAAUAAAUAAAACAUUAAAAAAAAAGAAAAGAAAACUACUUGUUCUGUUAUUAAUAUAACCACCUGGAGUGUCUGGUGGCUAACUUGAGAAUGAAUGAAUGAAUGAAUAAACAAACAAAUAAAUAAAUAAAUAAAUAAAGUAGGCUUCUUGUAGGCAAUUUGAGCCUUGUUUUUUAUCCAAUCUGACAAUCUCUGUCUUUUUAAUUUGAAUAUUUAGACCUUCAUGUUUAAUGUGAUGCUUAAUAUGACUAGAUUUAAAUCUAUAUGGGUAUUUAUUAUGUAACUG